CAGCCGCCGCGGUAAUACGAAGGGGGCUAGCGUUGCUCGGAAUGACUGGGCGUAAAGGGCGCGUAGGCGGUUUGGACAGUCAGAUGUGAAAUUCCCGGGCUUAACCUGGGGGCUGCAUUUGAGACGUCCAGGCUUGAGUGUGAGAGAGGGUUGUGGAAUUCCCAGUGUAGAGGUGAAAUUCGUAGAUAUUGGGAAGAACACCGGUGGCGAAGGCGGCAACCUGGCUCAUGACUGACGCUGAGGCGCGAAAGCGUGGGGAGCAAACAGGAUUAGAUACCCUGGUAGUCCACGCGGUAAACGAUGUGUGCUGGAUGUUGGGUGACUUAGUCAUUCAGUGUCGUAGUUAACGCGAUAAGCACACCGCCUGGGGAGUACGGCCGCAAGGUUGAAACUUAAAGGAAUUGGCGGG
rnacentral:rRNA from 1 species